CCAAGAAGGAGCUGGGUAGGGCAGGUUUAUACUCUGAGUCUAUGUGUGCAGGUCAAGCAGCAGCCCUUGUGGGUUUAGAGGGAUGGGAGUAGGUAGGUCUCAUGCCACUGGGUUGAUAUUCUAGAGGGGAGCAUUGUUGCCUCUACUGCACAGAAUUUGUUCAGGAAGUUGGUGUAGCAGGUGGUGAUAAGCCCCACAGAGUUCCCACACACUUGGAGAGGCACACGCACUCCCACGGAUUUCCAUUGGCAGCAGAGAGAUGAGUUCGCGUCAGCCUGUAAUUAGAAUUCCCCACUUUCAGAACUCAUAAGCUUUCCCCAUGCAGAUAGCAACCACAGCUUUCAAGUCAUGCCCCUCUCUGUUCCCUGAAAAGCCUGGCACUUGGCUCCUACUCACAACUCCUGCACUCAUGGCUCAUGAACCCGUGGCUCCUGCACUCACAGCCUGCUUUUCACUCUCCCCUACACUGGCCCUGGCCACGGGAUUUUGUCACCACCAAAGGUUACAUCUGGAAACCCCGUUGGGAGCUUCUUUCAACUUGUGACCACUGCCUGAACUUUUUGGCUGUCCUUCACGAGGCCUUCUGAGCAACAGGAUCAUUGAAGUAGCAGUGGCAACGAUGUUAUGAAAGUUCCAUGGACGUCAGAGAUCCAGGAUCUUCUUGUUUCCUCACCACCAUCAUCAACUUCUCUGUCUUUUUUGGUUAAAAAGCCACCACAUCUACGACUGCAGUUUUCCCAGCAGAAAACAGGCUUGCAUUCUUGGAAGGUAAAGGGAUAAGAAGCUGUGAAGGUUACGUAAUGGAGAUGAAAGGCAAGCUACAGGAAGUGAAAUUGGCAAUUCUUCUUGGUCCCUGUUUGGGAAAAUGUGAAUCUCAUCCUCUCAGUUUCUAGUUUGACAGACUAUAAGAAGGGACAUACCUAACAAAGAAUACAUCUUGCAGAUUGCUACAUAAAGAGUAAGUACAUUGACAAAUAUUAUGUACUUAAAAUAUAUACAGCUCUGUACUUAGCAUGCCACAUAGAAUUCCUUAAUAUUCCUCUUAACAGCUGUACAAGUUAACUUGACUUUUAUACGCAUUAUACACAUGAAAAAAAUGAGAUGAGAAAGGCCAAAUAAAAUGAAUGAAUGAAUGAAUGAGUUUUUAAAAUUUAUUUUGACAUGAGAGCCAAUCCUAUCAGCCUUGCUGAUUUCUUCAAAAUACUUGCAAAUAAGUUGCUAUAAUAUAAAAACAUCUUCUUAUUGUUUCUCUCUCCUUAAGGAUUUCUCUGAGACAUUUCUAAUAUUUAAAUCUUUUUUCCCAUAGGUUGUCUUUCACGGUACUUUGUAUACACUACUUUGGGUUCAUAUGCCUCAAGUGAAAAAUUGGUCUAAUAACAUUAAUACCUCUGUCACAACCCCAUUGCACAUGAUCAGUUCUAAUAAUGGGUUUUAAAGUAAUUUUGUUUUAUUUUAAAUUACUAUUCAGAUAUCAGUCACUAUGACAUCAGACUUUUUACUCUCUGUGAUAGUUAUAUAUCAACUUAGCUGGAGUAUAGUAUCAAGUUAUUCAAUAAAACACUAAUCUAGGUGUCACUGUGAAGGGAUUUUGUAGAUAUGAUUAACAUCUACAUUUAGUUGACACUAAGUAAAGGAGAUUUUCCUUGAUAAUGUGGUCAAGCCUCAUCCAAUCAAUUGAAAGGCCUGAGCUUUUCUAGAGGAAGAAGUAAUUUUAUCUCAGGACUCCAGCAUUAGCUACUGCUGGACAAUCCCAGCAUCCCAACCUGCCCAACAGAUUUUAGACUAGACUUACCACCUCAUAUGAGCACAUAGCAGAUUCCCAGAAAUCAAUCUAUCUACCUAUGUAUCUAUCAAUCUAUCAUCUCUCUCCUACUGCUUCUGUUUCUGUAGAUGACACUGACAGAUGUGAAUAUUCACAUAAAAGCUGUCAAUAUGCAUGUUCCUUCCUACUACUUGUACCAAUUAAGCAAAGAGUGUAACGGAUGCAUAUUUUUCUAAAGAAUUUCUGUAUGUGUUCUCCGAUUAUUGGUCAGAAAUAAAAAUAUGUUUAUAAUGCAAAAUUCAUAAAAUGUGUAUAAAUGAUAAUGUAUAUGCCUAUAUAAGUGUGUGUUUUUCUGUGUAUACAUAUAUGUAUAUAUGAGUGUGUGUGUAUGUGUGUGCAUUUUUUUGUAACUGAUACUGUGGCCUUUUAUAUCUACCAAAAUCCAGGACUAGUUUAGAAAAGAAAUUACAGCAGCAUUCUAAAAUUUACUUGUUUGAUAUAAAUAUAUUUUUGUAACUUUUUUUGCCUGACAUUUGUGCUGUAAAUCAAAAGUACUUUUGUGAAAGCAAUUUUUUUAAACAAUCUUCUCUGAAAUUGUGUAGGAGGAAGUGAAUCGCUACCACUCAAUCCUGACAUUAAUUCAACAGACACAUAUUUUGAUUUCUGAAGAAUUAUGGAAACAUUCUUUCAGAAGAGAACAAUGAAAGAUAGCAUUCUGUGUUUAGCACAUUUCCCCUUUCCAAGUGGCAGUGGAGCGUUGUAACAGCAAAGUAAAUUGCUUCUUAUUUCUAUGUGCUUUUUAAAACUGUGACACUGACUGAGCUGAACCACCAAGACCACAUCUGUACACAGCUAAAUAAAAGGUUUUACAUGAUGGCAAAACUGGGCAGAAUUAAUUUGUCCUUGGAUGUACUGAUGAUUGCAAUGCUUACACCACUGCUUUAUACACAGUAGGGUAACACUCAGAGUACUAUCAUGAAAUUCAGUUUUUAAUUUAAAAGAUUUUGAAAAAAGGACUCAUUACACAGGUAUGGCCAAGAUGAAGAGACACAGAAACGUCUGAUUGUAUACUGUAGCAUUAGUGACAGAUUGCCUGAGCAAGAAGUGAGAAAAAUAUUACUGAAGCCUCAGAGAGUUUGAAGCUUUAGAAAUAAAGCUGCCUAGCAAGAAUUGCAACCAUAGAAUAUAGUCAUUGCCCCAGAUUGAAGCAAGGCAAGGACAGGGGUUUGUUAGGAGUGAUGAAUACCUUGAUCUUUCUCUGUUCCAGCCAGCCCUCUAAUUUUCUGUGAUACUACUGGCCAAACCCAAUCAGAGGCUAAAAUUCAAGUGAUAUUGGGUGAUACGUGUGUAGGGCCAAAACUCCUUGAAAACAGAACAGGGAAGGGCUUGGAACAAUGGAGUUUCAAGGAGAGUAGCAAAUUAACAUAGUAGACAUACAAUCUAUAAGUUCGAGUUGAGGGCAGAAAUCAGUCUAGGCUGUUCAAUGGUAUGAAGUCAGGAACAAGGAUCAUACUUCUGAGCCAUAUGGAGGUAAGAUGCUAGAGGGAGAUGGUAAGUAAGCUACUAUUUUUUCCACUUAUGUAAGUAGAAA
rnacentral:lncRNA from 10 species